AUGGCGAAAGUGACCCUGAUCUUCAAGCUACCGUACUACACGGAAUGGGGGCAGAGCCUCAUCAUCGCCGGCUCCGCGCCGGCGCUCGGGUCCUGGAACGUCAAGCAGGGGCUGGCCCUGAGCCCGGUUCACGAGGGGAACGCGCUGGUCUGGUGCGGCCAGGUUUCAGUCCCGGCUGUCUUCACCUGUGAGUACAGCUACCAUGUGGUGGACGACCACAAGAACGUUCUCAGACGGGAGGCCGGGGAGAAGAAGAAGCUAGUGGUGCCGGAGGGCGUCAAGGACGGCGACGUCGUCGAGGUCCGCGACUGGUGGCAGGAUGCUUCUGAAGCUCUUUUCCUCCGAAGUGCGUUCAAGAACGUCAUUUUCAGCGCAACUGAUAAUGCUAAAAGGCAACUGCAGUCUCCUUCCCUCAGCAAAACUUUGGAUCCUGAAGAUAUUGUCGUGCAAUUUAUUAUCAGUUGUCCUCGGCUAGCAGCUGGCUCUACUGUUGUCGUCACAGGAAGUAAUCUCGCGGUAGGAAAUUGGAAAGCUCAAAAUGGCCUCAAGCUCAACUAUGUUGGAGAUUCCAUUUGGAAAGCCUACUGUGUGUUGCGGAAGUCUGAGUUCCCAGUAAAAUAUAAGUACUGUCAAGUUAGUGAAGCAGGAGUCUCUUCAUUGGAGUUUGGCCCAAACAGAGAGGUUGAUGUGGAUUUAUCAUCACCCAAGCCAUCCAGACACAUCUUAUUAUCUGAUGGCUCCCUCCGGGAAGCACCAUGGAGGGGUGCUGGUGUUGCCGUACCGAUGUUCUCAAUCAGGUCAAAUGAGGAUCUUGGUGUUGGAGAAUUCCCAGAUCUUAAACUUCUUGUUGACUGGGCAGUAAAUUCGGGUUUUCAUCUUGUUCAGCUCCUUCCUAUCAAUGAUACUUCUGUUAACAAGAUGUGGUGGGAUUCAUAUCCAUAUAGCUCACUCUCCGUAUUUGCGUUGCACCCCUUGUACCUGAGAGUGCAGGCGCUUUCAGAUGCUAUUCCAGCAGAUGUUAAGGAAGAGAUUACGAAGGCAAAGAAGGAGUUGGACAAAAAGGACGUCGACUAUGAGGCAGCGUUGUCCACGAAACUCAGAAUUGCCCAAAAAAUAUUUAAUUUAGAAAAGGAUAAAGUGCUAAAUUCAGCUCCGUUCAAGCAGUUCUUAUCUGAAAAUGAGGAAUGGUUGAAGCCAUAUGCUGCAUUUUGCUUUCUUCGGGAUUUCUUCGAGACAUCAGAUCACAGCCAGUGGGGUCGGUUUUCUCAGUUUUCCAAGGAGAAGCUUGACAAGCUAGUCGCAGCAGAUGCUUUGCACCACGAUAUUAUACGCUUCCACUACUAUGUCCAAUAUCAUCUAUUUACACAAUUAUCAGAUGCAGCUACAUAUGCAAGGAAGAACAAGGUUAUUCUGAAAGGAGAUUUACCUAUUGGUGUUGAUAGGAACAGCGUGGAUACUUGGGUAAACCCUACAUUAUUUCGCAUGAAUACCGCUACUGGUGCACCUCCAGAUUACUUUGCCAAAAGUGGACAAAAUUGGGGUUUUCCUACAUAUAACUGGGAGGAGAUGUCAAAGGAUAAUUAUGGGUGGUGGCGAGCUCGUCUGACACAGCUAUCAAAAUUCUUCACAGCGUAUAGGAUAGACCAUAUUUUGGGUUUCUUUAGGAUCUGGGAGCUUCCAGAUCAUGCUGCCACAGGUCUAUGUGGAAAAUUUAGACCUUCAAUUCCUCUUAGUCAGGAGGAGCUUCUAGGUGAUGGUAUCUGGGAUUUUGAUCGGAUGAGCCGCCCAUAUAUUCGUCAGGACAUGCUGGAGGAGAAGUUUGGAUCUCUUUGGACAAUUGUUGCAGCCAACUUUCUGCACGAGUAUCAGAAACACUGCUAUGAGUUCAAAGAGGAAUGCAACACCGAGAAAAAGAUUAUUACAAAGAUUAAAACCAGUCCUGAAAAAUCACUCUGGCUGGAGAAAGAAGACAGUAUUCAGCGUGGUCUGUUCGAUCUUCUACAGAAUAUAGUCCUCAUCAGAGAUCCUGAGGACUCCACAAAGUACUAUCCCCGUUUUAACCUGGAAGAUACUUCAAGUUUUAGGGACUUAGAUGAACAUAGCAAAAAUGUCCUUAGAAGAUUAUACCAUGACUAUUAUUUCGUUCGCCAAGAAAAUCUUUGGCGACAAAAUGCACUGAAGACUCUACCUGUUCUAUUGGACUGUUCGGAUAUGUUGGCAUGCGGGGAAGAUCUUGGCCUUAUCCCUGCUUGUGUUCACCCUGUUAUGCUAGAACUCGCGUUGAUUGGAUUGCGUAUCCAGAGAAUGCCUAGCGAACCAGGCUUGGAAUUUGAUAUUCCGUCCAAGUACAGCUAUAUGACGGUUUGUGCUCCCUCAUGUCAUGAUUGCUCCACAUUACGUGCUUGGUGGGAAGGAGAUGAAGGGACAAGAAGUCGUUUUUACAAGACUGUAAUUGGCAGCGACAAAGAGGCCCCAUCUCGUUGCACCCCAGAAGUAGUGAACUUCAUUCUUCAGCAGCAUUUCGAUGCACCGUCAAUGUGGGCAAUCUUUCCGCUACAGGAUCUGCUCGCUCUGAAAGACAAAUACACCGCAAGACCAGCAGCGGAGGAAACAAUCAACGAUCCCACUAACCCGAGGCAUUAUUGGAGAUUCCGCCUACAUGUGUCACUGGAGUCCAUACUGGAGGACAAGGACAUCCAGGCGAGCAUCAAGAACCUCGUCACAAGCAGCGGGAGGUCAUUCCCUGGCAAGAAAACGGACAAGGCCUAG
rnacentral:rRNA from 1 species